ACUGCACAGAACAGACAUUGUGACAUAUAUCUAGGCAAAUUGCCUAGAAGUGAAUCCCCUCUCCUGCUUAAGUCCUUCCCACAGAGAGCGGUUUGAUAUGUCACUGAAACCAGCAUCCAGGUGGUAUUGCUCCAUAUGCCUGAGACCCUAACAAAAGCCUAAUUACAACUCAUAUGCCUGGAGCCAGGACAUGUGCAGGAUGCCAUGAUGGUCCAAGUUAUAUUGGGAUUCAGCCAAUAGAAGAUAUUUUGCCUGUCAUCCCUAAGCUUAGGACAAUAGGAACAUUGUGACAUUGCUGGACGUAGCAUCUAGGAAAUGUACUCUCCUCUCCUGCCUAGGCCCUGCCCACUAAAGGAAUUGUGACAUACCACUGAGUGCAAAACCUAGGGUCCUGCCCACAAGAAAGAUUGUGACAUCUCACUGGACAAGCACCCACCCAGACUCUGCCAAGAGAGGGGAUUAUUACAUAUUGCAGAGCCCAGCACCUAGGUGGAGUGACUCUCAUCUUUUUCUUCUACCCCGUAUAUAGCCAGCUUGGUGACCUACUAUUUGAGUCUAUACCCAGGCCCAGACCACAGAUGAAAUUGUGCAAUAUGUGGAACAAACACCUAAACAAUAUAUAACACCUUCCUUGGCUCUGUCUACAAAGGGCACUUUUAUAUAUCACUGGGACCAUCAACCAGGUGAUGUUAAUUAUCUUCCUGAAACCUGUCUACAAAGAGAGUUGUGUCGUAUACCUAGGCCCGUCAUGUAAGUGAUGUCAGUCCCUUCUACUGCCUUGGCCCUGCACUUACAGUGCAUUGUGACACAUAACAAGGUACUGCACACAGACGAUGUGAUUCUCCUUUUUGGGUUCUGCCAAAAGGAAGCAUUGUAAUAAAUCGCUUGGCUCAG
rnacentral:lncRNA from 1 species